CUACGGGAGGCUCCAGUGGGGAAUAUUGGACAAUGGGGGAAACCCUGAUCCAGCAAUGCCGCGUGUGUGAAGAAGGCCUGCGGGUUGUAAAGCACUUUCGGUUGGGAGGACUGCUUCUAGCACUAAUAUUGUUGGAAGUUGACGUUACCUUCAGAAGAAGCACCGGCUAACUCCGUGCCAGCAGCCGCGGUGAAUACGGAGGGUGCAAGCGUUAAUCGGAAUUACUGGGCGUAAAGCGCGCGUAGGCGGCUAGAUCAGUCGGGUGUGAAAGCCCCGGGCUUAACCUGGGAACUGCAUCCGAUACUGUCUAGCUUGAGUACAGGAGAGGAGAGUGGAAUUCCACAUGUAGCGGUGAAAUGCGUAGAUAUGUGGAGGAACACCAAUGGCGAAGGCAGCUCUCUGGCCUGAUACUGACGCUGAGGUGCGAAAGCGUGGGGAGCAAACAGGAUUAGAUACCCUCGUAGUC
rnacentral:rRNA from 1 species